UACGUAGGGGGCUAGCGUUGUCCGGAAUCAUUGGGCGUAAAGCGCGCGUAGGUGGCUUCGUAAGUCCGUUGUGAAAGUCAAAGGCUCAACCUUUGAAAGCCGAUGGAUACUGUGAAGCUAGAGUACGGAAGAGGCGAGUGGAAUUCCUGGUGUAGCGGUGGAAUGCGCAGAUAUCAGGAGGAACACCAAUAGCGAAGGCAGCUCGCUGGGACGUUACUGACACUGAGGCACGAAGGCCAGGGAGCAAACGGG
rnacentral:rRNA from 1 species